UACGGAGGGGGCUAGCGUUGUUCGGAAUUACUGGGCGUAAAGCGCACGUAGGCGGCUUCGCAAGUCAGCGGUGAAAGCCCGGGGCUCAACCCCGGAACUGCCUUUGAGACUGCGUGGCUCGAAUCCGGGAGAGGCGGGUGGAAUUCCUGGUGUAGAGGUGAAAUGCGUAGAUAUUAGGAAGAACACCAGUGGCGAAGGCGGGCCGCUGGGCCGGCACUGACGCUGAGGUGCGAAAGCGUGGGGAGCAAACAGG
rnacentral:rRNA from 1 species